rnacentral:lncRNA from 1 species
GCCUACUUCUAAUUUCUUCAUCUCUCAUCCUCAUGCCAAUGUUCUUCCAUGCCACUUUCCUUUGCACACGAGAACCUGAAAAAACAAACUUCAAUAGAUAAUCCAUUCAAACCACCCUAACCAAUCAACUCAUUCAUAACUCAACUUCGACUUAACUAAUAACAAGCAUUACAUCCAUCAUUAUGUCCAUUAUUCAAUCCAUACGAAUAGUCGAUAACUAAUUCAACUAAUUUCUAAAUUCAAGAUUCUUAACUACAAAUUCUGCACUAACUUUUCCAAACAAUUCAUACAAUAACUAGUUCUAACCUACUAACACAUUAACCAACAUGGCAAUGGACAUUGUGAACAAAACUGCAACAAAAACAGAGCAAAAGUCAACAAAUAACCCCAAUUAUCCCUGACAGUUCCUAAUAGCCAUGGUCCAUACAUUCCCAAGCAUACAUCAUUACCAUAACAAUUGCAUCAUCUAAAAUGAAUGCAAAAUUCACUAAUAUUUACCAAAGCAACACAAUAGAUCAAGUAACAUUCAGUUAGGUUUUCAAGUACAUUUAGUUCAUACAUAACAUCCAGAUUAACUACAGGUUGCGCCCAAAAUCUAACACAAAUUCCAUCUGCAUUUCUAACAGAAUUGGGAAGCAGAUAAACUUAUAAAUAUGACUCACUUUUAUUCUGCAACUUGGCUUUUUAGGUUAUGCAUUUUGAGCUUUUGAUUCUUCAACUUGAGAUUUCCUUUCUGCAAAUCGAGUUUUCUAUUCUGCAACCUGAGAAUUCAGUCUUCAACCUGAAAUUUCAGUUUCUCCAACCUGAAUAUUUUCCACCUUGCAUCACUAUUAACCCUGCAAUAAUUGAAUUCGCAAAGCAAUAGGCUUUCGAUUUGAAGGAGGAAGUGAAGAAUACGUAAGCGAUUAUUUUGCAGAAUAGAUUUUCCAGUUCUUGGAUCCAGUUUUUUUGUUGCUUUUUUGUUAAUUAGUUAGUAAUUAGAUCUUAGGUUAAUUAGAUUAAUUAGGAUUGUUA